rnacentral:rRNA from 1 species
AGUGAACGCUGGCGGUAGGCCUAACACAUGCAAGUCGAACGGCAGCACAGUAAGAGCUUGCUCUUACGGGUGGCGAGUGGCGGACGGGUGAGGAAUAAAUCGGAAUCUACCUUUUCGUGGGGGAUAACGUAGGGAAACUUACGCUAAUACCGCAUACGACCUACGGGUGAAAGCAGGGGAUCUUCGGACCUUGCGCGAUUGAAUGAGCCGAUGUCGGAUUAGCUAGUUGGCGGGGUAAAGGCCCACCAAGGCGACGAUCCGUAGCUGGUCUGAGAGGAUGAUCAGCCACACUGGAACUGAGACACGGUCCAGACUCCUACGGGAGGCAGCAGUGGGGAAUAUUGGACAAUGGGCGCAAGCCUGAUCCAGCCAUACCGCGUGGGUGAAGAAGGCCUUCGGGUUGUAAAGCCCUUUUGUUGGGAAAGAAAAGCAGCAGGUUAAUACCCCGCUGUUCUGACGGUACCCAAAGAAUAAGCACCGGCUAACUUCGUG